ACGAAGGUGGCAAGCGUUGUUCGGAUUCAUUGGGCGUAAAGGGUGCGUAGGUGGCGCUGUAAGUCAGGUGUGAAAUUUCGGAGCUCAACUUCGAAACUGCAUUUGAUACUGCGGUGCUUGAGGACUGGAGAGGAGACUGGAAUUUACGGUGUAGCAGUGAAAUGCGUAGAGAUCGUAAGGAAGACCAGUGGCGAAGGCGGGUCUCUGGACAGUUCCUGACACUGAGGCACGAAGGCCAGGGGAGCAAACGGGA
rnacentral:rRNA from 1 species